rnacentral:ncRNA from 1 species
AUUUCAGGGGUGCUGAUUUUUCGGCUGAGACGAGUUAAAUACGCUCGAACCCUUUGACCUGAUACGGAUAAUACCGGCGUAGGAAGAAU